rnacentral:sRNA from 1 species
GAUCAUAACAUCGCGUUUCUCUUUGCCUGUUUCAAGUCUAACAGCCUUUAUCUCAUUAAGAUCAAAAUUUUGUGGAUUUCCAGGUGGCGUUAAUAAAUCGCCAAGUUGAUUACGCCAUAAAUCAUUAGCCUUCUCCGUUUUAGUACGAUGUAUAUUCAAGUCAUUAGAAAAGAAACAAACUAACGGACGUUU